rnacentral:rRNA from 1 species
GAGGGGUGCGAGCGUUAAUCGGAAUUACUGGGCGUAAAGCGCACGCAGGCGGUUUGUUAAGCUAGAUGUGAAAGCCCCGGGCUCAACCUGGGAUGGUCAUUUAGAACUGGCAGACUAGAGUCUGGUAGAGGGUAGUGGAAUUCCAGGUGUAGCGGUGAAAUGCGUAGAUAUCUGGAGGAACAUCAGUGGCGAAGGCGACUCCCUGGCCAAAGACU